GUGCUCGCUUCGGCAGCACAUAUCCUAAAAUUAGAAUGAUACAGAGAUUAGCGUGACCCCUGCGCAAGGAUGACACGCAGAUUUGUGAAGCGUUCCUUAUUUUU